UACGUAUGGUGCAAGCGUUAUCCGGAUUUACUGGGCGUAAAGGGAGCGCAGGCGGCGCGCCAAGUCUGAUGUGAAACCCCGGGGCUCAACCCCGGGCAUGCAUUGGAAACUGGCGGGCUGGAGUGCCGGAGAGGUAAGCGGAAUUCCUAGUGUAGCGGUGAAAUGCGUAGAUAUUAGGAGGAACACCAGUGGCGAAGGCGGCCUACUGGACGGUGACUGACGCUGAGGCUCGAAAGCGUGGGGAGCAAACAGG
rnacentral:rRNA from 1 species